rnacentral:rRNA from 1 species
UACGUAGGGGGCAAGCGUUGUCCGGAUUUAUUGGGCGUAAAGAGCGUGUAGGCGGCUUUACAGGUCCGUUGUGAAAACUCGAGGCUCAACCUCGAGACGCCGGUGGAAACCGUAAAGCUAGAGUCCGGAAGAGGAGAGUGGAAUUCCUGGUGUAGCGGUGAAAUGCGCAGAUAUCGGGAGGAACACCAGUGGCGAAGGCGACUUCCUGGCCUGUUCUUGACGCUGAGGCGCGAAAGCUAGGGGAGCAAACGGGG